rnacentral:rRNA from 1 species
CGGGGGGCAGCAGUGGGGAAUAUUGGACAAUGGGCGAAAGCCUGAUCCAGCAAUGCCGCGUGAAUGAUGAAGGCCUUAGGGUUGUAAAGUUCUUUUAGUAGGGAAGAUAAUGACGGUACCUACAGAAAAAGCCCCGGCUAACUCCGUGCCAGCAGCCGCGGUAAGACGGAGGGGGCUAGCGUUGUUCGGAAUUACUGGGCGUAAAGAGCGCGUAGGCGGUUUGGUAAGUUGGAAGUGAAAGCCCGAGGCUUAACCUCGGAAUUGCUUUCAAAACUGCCAAUCUAGAGUGUAGUAGGGGAUGAUGGAAUUCCUAGUGUAGAGGUGAAAUUCUUAGAUAUUAGGAGGAACACCGAUGGCGAAGGCAGUCAUCUGGGCUACAACUGACGCUAAUGCGCGAAAGCGUGGGGAGCAAACAGGAUUAGAUACCCCGGU